rnacentral:lncRNA from 1 species
GGCACAACUAGUCUUGUGCCUCUCCACGUCAUUGGGUGUGCCAAAGGCAUCCUCCAACACUUGAAGCAUGUCCUUUGGCUGAGCCGUCUCGAAUCUAUGACUGAACUCGUCGCUCAUGGCAGCCAGUAUGGUACAGCACACCAUGGUCCGAUCACUGAGCCACUUCUGGUAAGUGUCUCUGACUGUUUCACGUGCAUUGACAGCUGGCUCCUCAGGUGCAGGAUCCAUUAUCACAUAUAGGAUCCGUUCAUGCUCCAGGACUAUCUUCAACUUUCG